rnacentral:rRNA from 1 species
AACGAACGCUGGCGGCAGGCCUAACACAUGCAAGUCGAACGCACCGCAAGGUGAGUGGCGCACGGGUGAGUAACACGUGGGAAUGUACCCUUUGGUUCGGAAUAACGUUUGGAAACGAACGCUAAUACCGGAUGAGCCCUGCGGGGGAAAGAUUUAUCGCCAAAGGAGCAGCCCGCGUCUGAUUAGCUAGUUGGUGGGGUAAAGGCCUACCAAGGCGACGAUCAGUAGCUGGUCUGAGAGGAUGAUCAGCCACACUGGGACUGAGACACGGCCCAGACUCCUACGGGAGGCAGCAGUGGGGAAUAUUGGACAAUGGGCGCAAGCCUGAUCCAGCCAUGCCGCGUGAGUGAUGAAGGCCUCGGGUUGUAAGACUCUUUCGCACGCGACGAUGAUGACGGUAGCGUGAGAAGAAGCCCCGGCUAACUUCGUGCCAGCAGCCGCGGUAAU